AUGAAGGUCUUCAUCCUGGCUCUCCUUGCCCUCGCAGCAACCACCGCCAUUGCCCAGUUGGAAACCACAUGUAGCCAGGGCUUUGGACAAUCCCAACAACAACAACAACCUGGUCAACGACAGUUGCUGGAGCAGAUGAAGCCGUGUGUGGCAUUCCUGCAACAAAAGUGUAGCCCACUGAGAAUGCCAUUCCUCCAGACACAAGUCGAGCAACUUAGCAGCUGCCAGAUCGUGCAAUACCAAUGCUGCCAGCAGUUGGCGCAGAUCCCAGAGCGAACCCGGUGCCAUGCCAUCCACAUCGUGGUAGAGGCUAUCAUUCAACAACAAUCCCAACAACAAUGGCAGGAGCCCCAACAGCAAGCACAACAUAAGAGCAUGAGGAUGUUGCUUGAGAACCUAUCAUUGAUGUGCAACAUCUACGUCCCGGUACAAUGCCAGCAGCAACAACAACUGGGGCAACAACAACAACAACAGUUGCAGGAGCAGUUGACACCGUGCACGACAUUCCUGCAACAGCAGUGUAGCCCAGUGACAGUGCCAUUCCCCCAGAUACCGGUGGAUCAGCCUACCAGCUGCCAAAAUGUGCAGCACCAAUGUUGCCGACAGCUAUCACAGAUCCCAGAGCAAUUCCGUUGCCAAGCCAUCCACAACGUGGCGGAGGCUAUCAGGCAACAACAACCCCAACAACAAUGGCAGGGUAUGUACCAGCCCCAGCAGCCAGCACAACUUGAGAGCAUUAGGAUGUCGCUUCAGGCCCUGCGGUCGAUGUGUAGCAUCUACAUCCCAGUACAAUGCCCCGCCCCCACCACCUACAACAUUCCAUUGGUGGCUACCUACACUGGUGGUGCGUGCUAG
rnacentral:rRNA from 1 species